GCCUACGGGAGGCAGCAGUGGGGAAUAUUGCACAAUGGGGGGAACCCUGAUGCAGCGACGCCGCGUGAGUGAAGAAGUAUUUCGGUAUGUAAAGCUCUAUCAGCAGGGAAGAAGAUGACGGUACCUGACUAAGAAGCCCCGGCUAACUACGUGCCAGCAGCCGCGGUAAUACGUAGGGGGCAAGCGUUAUCCGGAUUUACUGGGUGUAAAGGGAGCGUAGACGGCAGCGCAAGUCUGGAGUGAAAUGCCGGGGCUCAACCCCGGAACUGCUUUGGAAACUGUGCGGCUCGAGUGCGGGAGGGGUA
rnacentral:rRNA from 1 species